rnacentral:rRNA from 1 species
UACGGAGGGGGCUAGCGUUGUUCGGAAAUACUGGGCGUAAAGCGCACGUAGGCGGCGCAGCAAGUCAGGGGUGAAAUCCCGGGGCUCAACCCCGGAACUGCCUCUGAAACUGCAGUGCUAGAAUCUUGGAGAGGCGAGUGGAAUUCCGAGUGUAGAGGUGAAAUUCGUAGAUAUUCGCAAGAACACCAGUGGCGAAGGCGGCUCACUGGCCCGGUACUGACGCUGAGGUGCGAAAGCGUGGGGAGCAAACAGG